ACUGAACGCUGGCGGCAGGCUUAACACAUGCAAGUCGAGCGGAGAUGAGGUGCUUGCACCUUAUCUUAGCGGCGGACGGGUGAGUAAUGCUUAGGAAUCUGCCUAUUAGUGGGGGACAACAUUCCGAAAGGAAUGCUAAUACCGCAUACGUCCUACGGGAGAAAGCAGGGGAUCUUCGGACCUUGCGUAAAUAGAUGAGCCUAAGUCGGAUUAGCUAGUUGGUGGGGUAAAGGCCUUCAAAGGGGACGAUCUGUGGCGGGUCUGAGAGGAUGAUCCGCAACACUGGGACUGAGACACGGCCCAGACUCCUACGGGAGGCAGCAGUGGGGAAUAUUGGACAAUGGGGGGAACCCUGAUCCAGCCAUGCCGCGUGUGUGAAGAAGGCCUUAUGGUUGUAAAGCACUUUAAGCGAGGAGGAGGCUACUGAGACUAAUACUCUUGGAUAGUGGACGUUACUCGCAGAAUAAGCACCGGCUAACUCUGUGCCAGCAGCCGCCGUAACAC
rnacentral:rRNA from 1 species